UAUACAAAUACAUGGAGCCGAUCUCCACUGUAAAUCAAAUCCGGGCUCCUCGCGACGAGCUUUGUAGGAAAAACCAGAACUAAAACACGCGAGAUCUCUACUCUCUCAGCAUCUCCAUUUCCAGAUCUCAAUUAUUCGUCAUUUCUUUCUCUAAUCAAAUAAGAAAAGAAUUAGAAAUGGCGGCGGGUGGUUUUGUUAGCCGCGCAUUUGAAUCGAUGCUAAAGGAAUGUUCGGGCAAGAAGUUCCCCGAUCUCCAAAAGGCUAUCCAAUCUUAUUUAGAUGAUACAAAAGAGGUGACACAGCAGCCUAAACCCAUUGAGACGAAUCAGGCAGCAUCGGCUGCUGGAGACGGGAGCUCACUUGAUUCUGAGGGUGAAGGUGCAAAAACUGGAACAGAAUCAGAUCAGUCAGAAACGGUUCAACAUACUUCUGAAGAGGCACAGCAGGCGAGUAAGCAAGCAGGCAUUAGUCGAAGCAUUACAGUUGUACUGGCAAAUGCUGGGUGCACCUUGGAAGGAGCUGAAGCGGAGCUUGUUUUAAAUCCACUACGUUUUGCAUUUGAGACGAAGAAUUUGAAAAUCUUAGAACCUGCUUUGGAUUGUCUUCAUAAACUCAUUGCAUAUGAUCAUUUAGAGGGAGAUCCUGGUUUGGAAGGUGGUAAAAAUGUUCCGCUGUUUACGGACAUUCUGAACAUGGCUUGCAAUUGUAUUGAUAAUUCAUCACCUGAUAGUACGAUUCUUCAAGUGUUAAAGGUACUUCUGACAGCUGUGGCAUCCACAAAGUUUAGAGUACAUGGGGAGCCUUUGUUGGGAGUCAUCAGAAUAUGUUACAACAUUGCUUUGCACAGCAAGAGCCCUAUAAAUCAAGCAACAUCGAAGGCAAUGUUAACACAGAUGAUCAACAUCAUUUUCAGGAGAAUGGAAUCUGAUUCUCAAGCUCAGGCUUCUACUUCAACUGGUUCUACUGGGAAUGAUGAAGCUGCUUUGGCAGAGAAAUCAGAUUUAAGCACUGAAGAAACUCCAAAUGCUGACCAAAACGAGGAAGAAAUGACUUUGGGGGAUGCACUUAAUCAGAUCAAAGAAACUUCUCUUGCAUCUGUUGAGGAACUCCAUAAUCUUGCAGGCGGUUCUGAUAUCAAGGGUCUGGAGGCUGUUCUUGACAAAGCUGUGCAUACUGAAGAUGGUAAAAAGAUUACAAGAGGGAUUGACCUGGAGAGCAUGGACAUUGGACAACGGGAUGCUUUAUUGGUAUUCCGCACCCUUUGUAAGAUGGGCAUGAAGGAGGAUAAUGAUGAAGUCACCACCAAAACAAGGAUUUUGUCUCUAGAGCUUCUGCAGGGUUUAUUGGAAGGUGUUAGCCAUUCAUUUACAAAGAACUUCCAUUUUAUUGACUCAGUAAAAGCAUAUCUUUCCUAUGCUCUGUUGCGUGCUUCAGUGUCACAAUCUUCAAUCAUAUUUCAGUAUGCAACUGGAAUCUUCUUUGUGCUUUUGUUGCGGUUCAGGGAAAGUCUUAAAGGUGAAGUUGGUGUAUUCUUUCCCUUGAUAGUUCUACGAUCAUUGGAUGGUGCAGAGUGUCCUGCUAACCAAAAAAUGAGUGUUCUUCGGAUGCUUGAAAAAGUUUGUAAGGAUCCUCAAAUGCUUGUUGAUGUAUAUGUGAAUUAUGACUGUGAUCUCGAGGCACCAAACCUGUUUGAACGCAUGGUUACAACCCUAUCUAAAAUAUCUCAAGGGGCUCAAGUUGCAGAUCCAAAUUCUGCUGCUGUGUCGCAGACUACCUCAAUUAAAGGUUCAUCACUUCAGUGUCUUGUGAAUGUACUUAAAUCCCUGCUUGAUUGGGAGAGAUCAUGUAGAGAAUUGGAAAAGAAAAGUAAAAACACCCAAUCUCUUGAAGAAGAGGUUUCAGCUAGAGAAAUUGCAGAGGUAAAAGGCAGGGAAGAUGUGCCCAAUAACUUUGAGAAGGCAAAGGCUCAUAAAUCUACAAUGGAAGCUGCUAUCUCAGAGUUCAAUAGGCAUUCAGUUAAGGGCUUAGAGUAUAUGAUAUCAAACAAGUUGGUGGAAAAUAAUCCUGCUUCAGUUGCUCAAUUUCUGAGAAAUACUCCUAGUUUGAACAAGGCCAUGAUUGGUGAUUAUUUGGGCCAACACGAAGAGUUUCCCCUUGCUGUCAUGCAUGCUUAUGUAGAUUCGAUGAAGUUUUCAGAAAUGAAGUUUGAUACAGCAAUUCGCGAGUUCCUGAAAGGAUUUCGACUUCCAGGGGAAGCUCAAAAGAUAGAUCGUAUCAUGGAAAAGUUUGCAGAGAGAUAUUGUGCAGACAAUCCAGGUCUUUUCAAAAAUGCUGAUACCGCAUAUGUUCUUGCAUAUGCGGUUAUACUGUUGAACACUGAUGCACAUAAUCCAAUGGUGUGGCCAAAAAUGUCUAAGUCAGAUUUUAUACGUAUGAAUGCCAUGAGUGAUGCUGAAGAUUGUGCCCCAACAGAUCUACUGGAAGAGAUAUAUGAUUCGAUUGUCAAGGACGAGAUAAAACUGAAAGAUGAUGCAGCUGGGAUUGGGAAAAACAGCAAACAAAAGCCAGAAGGUGAAGAGAGAGGCGGCCUUGUCAGUAUUCUUAAUCUUGCUCUUCCCAAACGAAAGUCAUCAACUGAUGCCAAGUCAGAGAAUGAAGCUAUAAUUAAGCAAACACAGGCAAUAUUCCGGAAACAAGGAGCUAGAAGAGGAGUUUUCCAUACGGUACAACAGAUUGAAAUUAUAAGGCCCAUGGUUGAAGCUGUAGGAUGGCCUUUGCUUGUUACUUUCUCUGUCACUAUGGAGGAAGGUGAUAACAAGCCAAGGGUUGUUCUCUGCAUGGAGGGAUUUAAAGCUGGAAUCCACAUUACACAUGUUCUGGGAAUGGAUACCAUGCGUUAUGCUUUUUUAACAUCUCUGGUCCGAUUUACUUUCUUGCAUGCCCCGAAGGAGAUGCGUAGUAAAAAUGUAGAAGCUUUGAGGACUCUGCUUGCACUAUGUGACUCAGAAACGGAUUCCCUUCAAGACACAUGGAAUGCAGUCUUAGAAUGUGUUUCUCGGCUUGAAUACAUCACUUCAACUCCUUCUAUUGCAGUAACUGUCAUGCUUGGAUCAAAUCAAAUUUCCAGGGAUGCUGUUCUUCAAUCCUUAAGAGAAUUGGCUGGGAAACCUGCUGAACAAGUUUUUGUCAAUAGUGUUAAAUUACCCAGUGAUUCGGUUGUAGAGUUCUUCAAUGCUCUAUGUGGUGUUUCAGCAGAAGAACUAAGACAGACUCCUGCUCGUGUAUUUAGUUUGCAAAAGCUUGUUGAGAUCAGCUAUUACAAUAUGGCUCGUAUACGCAUGGUCUGGGCUAGAAUUUGGUCUGUCUUGGCAAAUCACUUUAUCUCUGCCGGGAGUCAUCAUGAUGAGAAAAUUGCCAUGUAUGCCAUAGAUUCUCUAAGGCAGCUUGGAAUGAAGUAUUUGGAGCGUGCUGAACUUGCUAAUUUCACUUUCCAGAAUGACAUUCUUAAACCCUUUGUUGUUCUUAUGCGGAAUAGUAGAAGUCAAUCCAUAAGGAGGCUAAUUGUUGAUUGCAUUGUUCAAAUGAUCAAAUCUAAAGUUGGAAACAUUAAGUCUGGAUGGCGCAGUGUUUUUAUGAUUUUCACUGCUGCUGCUGAUGAUGAGAUGGAAUCAAUUGUUGAAAGUGCAUUUGAAAAUGUUGAGCAGGUUAUCUUGGAACACUUUGAUCAGGUUGUUGGAGAUUGUUUCAUGGACUGUGUAAACUGUCUUAUAAGAUUUGCCAACAAUAAAACUUCUCACCGUAUAAGUUUGAAGGCUAUUGCACUUCUCCGCAUAUGCGAGGACCGUCUUGCAGAGGGCCUUAUACCUGGUGGUGCUUUGAAGCCUAUUGAUGUUUCUGUUGAUGCAAACUUUGAUGUGACUGAACAUUAUUGGUUCCCGAUGCUAGCUGGUUUAUCUGAUUUGACAUCAGAUCUAAGACCUGAGGUCAGAAGCUGUGCACUCGAAGUUUUGUUUGAUUUGCUAAAUGAGAGAGGUAGCAAGUUCUCAUCAUCAUUUUGGGAGAGCAUAUUCCAUCGUGUCUUGUUCCCCAUUUUUGAUCAUGUUAGACAUGCUGGAAAGGAAAGCUUAAUCUCUUCUGAUGAUGAACUGUUUCGAGAAACCAGCAUUCAUUCGCUUCAGUUGCUGUGCAAUCUCUUUAACACUUUCUAUAAGGAAGUGUGUUUCAUGCUGCCACCACUUCUGGGUUUGCUUUUAGACUGCGCAAAAAAGACUGAUCAGACGGUGGUUUCCAUCUCUCUUGGUGCAUUAGUACAUCUUAUAGAAGUUGGAGGCCACCAGUUCAGCGAGAGUGACUGGGAUACUUUGUUGAAAAGCAUAAGAGAUGCUUCAUACACAACACAACCACUUGAGCUGCUCAAUGCUUUGGGUUUUGAAGGUUCUAUGGUGCUAGUUACAGAUUCAGAGGUUGGCACAGAUAACCAUCAGAUUGAUGCCAGUGAUAAUGGACAUGUAUCUCCACUGCCAUCGCCAAGUAUCAGUGCUCAUGGCACUAGAGGGAAUCCUAAUGCAAUGGUCUUACUGGAUCACAACCAAGAAUUUGGACUGCAAAGUAAUUUGGAAGGGUCAGAAGGCCUACCAUCGCCUUCAGGAAGAUCCCAGAAACCUGCUGAAGAUCUUCAAAGGAAUCAAACUAUAGGUCAAAAGAUCAUGGGAAACAUGAUGGACAAUCUGUUUAUCAGAAGUUUUACCUCCAAAUCCAAGGCUCGUGUUUCUGAUGCCUCAGCACCAUCUUCUCCUAUCAAGAUUCCAGAUGCUGUGGAGUCUGAUGCCAAAGAGGUGGAAAGUCCACUUAUGGCAACUGUUAGGGGCAAGUGCAUCACUCAAUUAUUACUUCUUGGUGCCAUUGAUAGUAUUCAGAAGAAGUAUUGGAGCAAAUUGAAAGCUUCUCAAAAGAUUGCUAUAAUGGAUGUUUUAUUGUCCAUGUUAGAGUUUGCGGCUUCAUAUAAUUCAUAUUCGAAUCUCAGAAUGCGUAUGCACCAUAUUCCUGUUGAGAGGCCUCCUCUAAAUCUUCUUCGGCAAGAAUUAGCUGGAACUAGCAUUUAUCUAGAUGUGUUGCAGAAAACAACUUCAGGUUUUGAUGCCAUCAACGAGAAACAGCAGGAAUCUAAUGUUGAUGUUGCUCGAGUUCACAAUGAUUCAAGCUUUGCUGGGCAUUCUAGUGGGGAAGAGAAACUUGAAGGAGUUGCAGAAGAGAAACUCGUUUCUUUCUGUGAACAGGUACUAAGGGAAGCGUCCGACCUUCAAUCCAGUGUAGGAGAGACUACUAACAUGAAUGUUCACCGAGUCCUUGAGUUGCGUUCCCCAGUCAUUGUUAAGGUGCUCAAGGGCAUGUGCUUUAUGAACAACAAGAUUUUCAGAAGACACCUGAGAGAGUUCUAUCCCUUGCUUACAAAACUUGUGUGCUGUGAUCAGAUGGAUGUUCGCGGGGCACUCGGUGAUCUUUUCAGGGUGCAGCUGAAAGCUUUACUGCCAUAGUGGUUUCUCUAGUGUCCGUUUGUGGAGGAAUUACUUUCAGCAAGGCAGAACAUUCGAGGUCUGAUUGUCUUAAUGUUCAGCUAAUUUUCCUGCGCUCGACUACGCGUUUUAAUUUCAUUUGUGAAGUUUAUUUGUAGAUUCUUCCGUUUUUUUAAGCAAAUAUACCUCUAGGGACCCGAGUUUCAAGCAUAACAAACAGAAGGAGACGUACAUUUUGAGACAUUUGAGCAAGGAAAUAAUGACUCUUUUUAGGAGACGAAGGGAGUAAUAUUUUCUUAUAAUCUCUAAUAUAUUAUUUUAAAUUAUUUAUAAGUAAACAUCUUUAACAUUUAUGAAAUUAAAAUGUUUGGUUUUUAAAAUCUGACAAUUUUUAUAUAAAGAUCGACAAUUUGUAAUUAGAUUAAUAUGUUAAUUGUUAGAACAUAUAAAUAAUUUUGAUUGCA